rnacentral:snRNA from 1 species
GUGCUCGGUUCGGCAGCACAUAUACUAAAAUUGGAACGAUACAGAGAAGAUUAGCAUGGCCCCUGUGCAAGGAUGACAUGCAAAUUCAUGAAAAAUAAUGCAUCUAA